AGCCCUAGAACAUUUUCUAAGGUGAUGCCUGCCCGGUGAUAAUGCUUAUAUAUUAAUAAUGAUCUUAAAAAAACUUUAUCAAACGGCCGCGGUAUUCCUGACCGUGUUAAGGUAGCACAAUCAAUUGCCGCCUAAUUAGCGGAUAGUAUGAAUGGUAGUACGAGGGUUUCACUGUCUCUAAAAUAGACCAAAGAAAAUUAAAAGAAUAGUUAAGAUGCUAUUUAAGAUCGUAAGACGAUAAGACCCUAUAAAGCUUUACUAUAAUCUUAUAAAUUUAUUAUUUUAUUUGUAAGGUUGGUAGUUUACUUGGGGCAAGGUUUCUUUAAAAAUAAAAAGAAUAAGCAAUAUUUAAUAUUAUAUAAAUUAAUUGUAUAAAAUAUAUUUUUAACAAUCACUAUGUGGGCUAUAAUGACCCGUAUAGACUUUAAAAAUUAGCUAUACGAUAAAUAAAUAAAAGCUACUUUAGGGAUAACAGGGUAAUUCAAACAAAGAGUUCUUAUCGCUGUUAGAGUUUGCCACCUCGAUGUUGAAUUGAGAUUUCCUGGCGGAGCAGGGACUGCCAAAGGUAGGACUGUUCGUCCUUUAAUAUCUUA
rnacentral:rRNA from 1 species